CUGGACUCUGCUGGGAUGGGUUCAAAGUAGAGAAAGUGCAAGAGGGAAGAGUUACCCGGGCUAGAGAGGACAGCGGGCCGCAGGUUUAGUCCUGGUUGUGGAGUGGGAUGCUGAGAUGGGUCUGGAGGGAUGCAGGAUGUUCUAGGCCGUUAGGAUGGUAAAUAGGGACCUCGCUCCGCGAGGGAUGCUGAACGGGGUCUGGAAGAAUGCAAGAUGUCCUGGUCCGGGCCAGGAAUGCUGGAUGUCAGAUCCCUGGGAGGAUAUGAGAGGAUGUUUCCAGAAACACCGAACUAAAAAGGAACGUCCAACCCUGAAUGUGGAGGACAUCCUCCUCUGGGCUGGGCUCCCAGACUGAGUAAGAAGAAAAUAAGUUGAGCUCGCCCCCCCCCCCCCCAGCGCUGUAGAUACAGUGUGACCAGUUACCAGCCAACCCCCUGUUGCGGUGCCUUUUUCUUUUUCUUUUUUUUUCUUCCCUACCACUAUGAACUGUUCACUCUUAAGCUGAGAGCUAAAAUAAACUCUUCC
rnacentral:lncRNA from 1 species